GACGAACGCUGGCGGCGUGCUUAACACAUGCAAGUCGAACGGAAAGGCCCUGCUUGCAGGGUACUCGAGUGGCGAACGGGUGAGUAACACGUGGGUGAUCUGCCCUGCACUUCGGGAUAAGCCUGGGAAACUGGGUCUAAUACCGGAUAGGAGCCAUUUUUAGUGUGAUGGUUGGAAAGUUUUUUCGGUGUAGGAUGAGCUCGCGGCCUAUCAGCUUGUUGGUGGGGUAAUGGCCUACCAAGGCGGCGACGGGUAGCCGGCCUGAGAGGGUGGACGGCCACAUUGGGAGUGAGAUACGGCCCAGACUCCUACGGGAGGCAGCAGUGGGGAAUAUUGCACAAUGGGCGCAAGCCUGAUGCAGCGACGCCGCGUGGGGGAUGACGGCCUUCGGGUUGUAAACUCCUUUCGCUAGGGACGAAGCUUUUUGUGACGGUACCUAGAUAAGAAGCACCGGCUAACUACGUG
rnacentral:rRNA from 1 species